UUGAAGAGUUUGAUCAUGGCUCAGAUUGAACGCUGGCGGCAGGCCUAACACAUGCAAGUCGAGCGGUAGCACAGAGAGCUUGCUCUCGGGUGACGAGCGGCGGACGGGUGAGUAAUGUCUGGGAAACUGCCUGAUGGAGGGGGAUAACUACUGGAAACGGUAGCUAAUACCGCAUAAUGUCGCAAGACCAAAGUGGGGGACCUUCGGGCCUCAUGCCAUCAGAUGUGCCCAGAUGGGAUUAGCUAGUAGGUGGGGUAACGGCUCACCUGGCGACGAUCCUAGCUGGUCUGAGAGGAUGACCAGCCACACUGGAACUGAGACACGGUCCAGACUCCUACGGGAGGCAGCAGUGGGGAAUAUUGCACAAUGGGCGCAAGCCUGAUGCAGCCAUGCCGCGUGUGUGAAGAAGGCCUUCGGGUUGUAAAGCACUUUCAGCGGGGAGGAAGGCGUUAAGGUUAAUAACCUUGGCGAUUGACGUUACCCGCAGAAGAAGCACCGGCUAACUCCGUGCCAGCAGCCGCGGUAAUACGGAGGGUGCAAGCGUUAAUCGGAAUUACUGGGCGUAAAGCGCACGCAGGCGGUCUGUCAAGUCGGAUGUGAAAUCCCCGGGCUCAACCUGGGAACUGCAUUCGAAACUGGCAGGCUAGAGUCUUGUAGAGGGGGGUAGAAUUCCAGGUGUAGCGGUGAAAUGCGUAGAGAUCUGGAGGAAUACCGGUGGCGAAGGCGGCCCCCUGGACAAAGACUGACGCUCAGGUGCGAAAGCGUGGGGAGCAAACAGGAUUAGAUACCCUGGUAGUCCACGCCGUAAACGAUGUCGAUUUGGAGGUUGUGCCCUUGAGGCGUGGCUUCCGGAGCUAACGCGUUAAAUCGACCGCCUGGGGAGUACGGCCGCAAGGUUAAAACUCAAAUGAAUUGACGGGGGCCCGCACAAGCGGUGGAGCAUGGUUUAAUUCGAUGCAACGCGAAGAACCUUACCUGGUCUUGACAUCCACAGAACUUUCCAGAGAUGGAUUGGUGCCUUCGGGAACUGUGAGACAGGUGCUGCAUGGCUGUCGUCAGCUCGUGUUGUGAAAUGUUGGGUUAAGUCCCGCAACGAGCGCAACCCUUAUCCUUUGUUGCCAGCGGUUCGGCCGGGAACUCAAAGGAGACUGCCAGUGAUAAACUGGAGGAAGGUGGGGAUGACGUCAAGUCAUCAUGGCCCUUACGACCAGGGCUACACACGUGCUACAAUGGCAUAUACAAAGAGAAGCGACCUCGCGAGAGCAAGCGGACCUCAUAAAGUAUGUCGUAGUCCGGAUUGGAGUCUGCAACUCGACUCCAUGAAGUCGGAAUCGCUAGUAAUCGUAGAUCAGAAUGCUACGGUGAAUACGUUCCCGGGCCUUGUACACACCGCCCGUCACACCAUGGGAGUGGGUUGCAAAAGUAGGUAGCUUAACCUUCGGGAGGGCGCUUACCACUUUGUGAUUCAUGACUGGGGUGAAGUCGUAACAAGGUAACCGUAGGGAACCUGCGGUUGGAUCACCUCCUU
rnacentral:rRNA from 1 species